rnacentral:lncRNA from 1 species
UGGUUCCUGGUGCCAGGUAGUGAAGGAGGGGGGAGUUCUCACUCCUAAAUGUGUGUGUCCAAAGACCUGCCCAUGGCAGGGGGCAGCAGUGUGCAGCGUUAUGGGGAAGACGUACAGCAACGAGUGUCUUCUUCACAAGGAGGCCUGCCGCAAAAAACGACGCAUUGGCAAUGGCAAGGCACAUAGUGGAGCUUGUCUGGUAAGCGAGGCUGAGUGCUCUGAGGAAGAGUUCGGUCAGUUCCCGUACCGUCUGCUGGACUGGUUCUUACUCCUCAGCAGAAUGGGAGAGAGAUACACACCAGCCGCUCCCUCUCAAAGCUGUCUCACACACACCCAGCGAACCCAACUUGCAGAGGUAAAACAAAGAAACACACUGAACUCACUCAAAUCAUUUACACAUAGG